CGUAGAAAUUUCUGUUGGUGAUAUAGAUCAUGUAUAUCAAAGAUUAAAAGUUUGUUUAAUUUUUUUUUUUUUUUUUCUGUGGAUUUGUUAAACUUGUUAUUAUAAAAAAACACAUCUAGUAACAAAAAAAUAAACUGUUUUAUGAAGAUUAGAAUUGAAAACUUUAUUUCAAAAACAACCUCAGUCAAAGUUGUCAUGAUAUCAGAUAGUUACGCCGUCUUAUAGAGGAACUCGAAGGCUUUCCAAUUAGAUUCAAAAAAUUUUCAAAGGCAAGUGUAGUGAUGAGAUAUUUGACAAGUAUAGUGAUGAGAUAUUUAUUGUUGAAUAGGAGUUAAUUAUUUGGAUGUGAAGAAGUUGUUUUAUUCUACUGAAAAAAUAACUAUUUUGAUAAAGCACUGAUGGCUACAAAAACCACCAGGUUUUAUGUCGUUUCACUCUAAUGAAACGCUUUUUUAUUCAAGAGUAUUUGUCUUGUAACAAUAGAAAAAAGUUGUUGUUUUUAUGCGAUCAAAGUGCCAACUGAAACAAAAAGAUUCAAAUGCCAUCAUUUACAACAAUCACAAUAGUGAUGAAGUAAUUCAGAAGCACUGAGAGCGUUUGCUAUAAGUUUUUGAAAGCGUCUACAAAAGAGUUGGUUUGUAUUGAUUUAUGAUUAACAACAGAAAAUACAUUACUUCAACAAAUGUUAGUUUUUUACACGUUAGUUAUAUAAUCUCCUAUGAAAUGGUUCAUCUAAAUCUAACUCCCUGCAGGAUGCUUUUUAAAAAGGAAAACUGAAGAAACUUUAAAACUAGAUGAUGUCAACUAAAGAAGUUGAAACACCGUUAUUCAUGACGUCGUAUCGAGGCUUCAGUUCUCUAGUAUUAAUUUUUAUUUUUUAUUAUAUGUGUUUUGUUUAUUUUAUUUUAUUUUAACAACAAACUAUGUGAAUAAUUAGUUGUCCUGCCCUGGGCUUCUACUACAAUAUGGCUAUUAUUAUAACACGUAUAUCGAUUUAUCCAUUGUAUUGAGUUAGCUUGUGAUUUUUACGUGUGUUUUUGUUUACCUAGUGUUUAUUAGUUAUAUGCAAGAUAUGGCAUGGUAUGACACACUGCAUGUGUAAAUGUGGAUAAAAGCACUAAAGAAAACGAUAACGAUAAACUUUAAAGCAGAAUUUUGUCAUGCGAUUAUGGUGACGAUAUGAGAGUACUACUGCGGCAGAAUAUUACUAUCGUAGAACAGUCUGUUGCCUCUGGGUCAUGAUAGGAGUACCUUUGUCUUAAACAUUCCAUUAGUUUUUUCAAAGCGUCACGCGAACUGGUUUUUACAAUCUGAAAAUAAAUUUAGUAAUUGCUAGAAAAUACUUGAAGAACAUAUCCAAAAUGCACCAAAUAUUUUUAUAGGUUACACGGCGUUAAUUUUUGUUCAAAAGUCUCCCGACUGCCAGUUUGCUCGUGUUUUCACACUUACUGUCAUAGUAAGUAGAAACCAUGUAAAAAUAACAGUAAAAGUUUAAAAGACCAAUAAAUAUAGAAAGUUUUUGUGAGUAGUUUGUAUCGGUAAGGAGAUUU
rnacentral:lncRNA from 1 species